rnacentral:rRNA from 1 species
GAUGAACGCUGGCGGCGUGCCUAAUACAUGCAAGUCGAGCGAACAGACGAGGAGCUUGCUCCUCUGACUUUAUCGGCGGACGGGUGAGUAACACGUGGAUAACCUACCUAUAAGACUGGGAUAACUUCGGGAAACCGGAUCUAAUACCGGAUAAUAUAUUGAACCUCAUUGUUCAAUAGUUAAAGACGGUUUUGCUUUCACUUAUAGAUUGAUCCGCGCCGCAUUCACUAGUUGGUUAAGUAACUGCUUACCAAGGCAACGAUGCGGAGCCGACCUCAGAGCGUGAUUGGCCAGACUGGAAGUGAGACACGGUCCACACUCCUACGGGAGGCAGCAGUAGGGAAUCUUCCGCAAUGCGCGAAAGCUUGACGGUGCAAAGCCGCGUGAGUCAUGAAGGUCUUAGGCUCGUAAAACUAUGUUAUUAGGGAAGUACAAAUGUGUAAGUACCUAUGAACGUAUUGACGGUACCUAAUCAGAAAGCCACGGCUAACUCCGUG